CCCUAUGGGGUGCAGCAGGCGCGGAAACUCCGCAAUGCGCGAAAGCGUGACGGGGCCACCCCGAGUGUCAUCCGAUGAGGAUGACUUUUCCUUGGUAUAACUAGUCAGGGGAAUAAGGGGAGGGCAAGCCUGGUGUCAGCCGCCGCGGUAAUACCAGCUCCCCGAGUGGUUGGGGUGUUUAUUGGGUCUAAAGCAUUCGUAGCCGGCCGAAAAAGUUCUCCGUUAAAUUCGACGAUUCAAUCGUCGGUGUGCGGGGAAAACUACUCGGCUUGGGGGCGGAGGAAGUCGGCGGUAUUUCUGGGGUAGGGGCGAAAUCCUAUAAUCCCAGGAGGACCACCAGUGGCGAAGGCGGCCGACUAAAACGCGCCCGACGGUGAGGGGUGAAAGCUGGGGGAGCGAACGGGAUUAGAUACCCCGGUAGUCCCAGCUGUAAACAAUGCAGGCUAGGUGUUGGAACAGCUUCGAGCCGUUCCAGUGCCGCAGGGAAGCCGUUAAGACUGCCACCUGGGAAGUACGGUCGCAAGGCUGAAAUCUUAAGAAAUAGGAAUUAGUGAUGUAGCUAUUUCUUAGGACAGUAUACUUAAAGGAAUUGGCGGGGGAGCACCACAAGGGGUGAAGCCUGCGGUUUAAUUGGAGUCAACCCCGGGAAACUUACCAGGGGCGACAGCGGGAUGAAAGCCAGAUUAAAGGUCUUGCUGGACUAGCUGAGAGAGUGCAUACAGGCGAUU
rnacentral:rRNA from 1 species